AAACUUCUAACCUCAUCUAAGUGGAUGGUCAGCAUUGAGGGGAAAGUGAAACAUUGCAUUGAAGAGAAGCUGGAUUUUGCUGCAGCACUCUCUGCGCUUUUUGGUUGCUUUUAUUUUUUUAAUAUUGAGUACCAGAAGUCAGCCAGUGCCACGCUUGAGCUUAUUCAAAGCCGCAAUACUGAGUCUACAGUUAAAAGAAAGGUUCAAAAUGUGAAUCCACAUGUCCAUACAUUUUUGCAGAGCCUUACCGAAUUUGAAUAGAAAACAUCUAAUUAAGUUCGGAACAACAUGUGGGUCAAUGGUGACUGAGUAUUAUAUUUUGCCACUACAUAUUUUGUGUGUGUGUGUGUGUGUGUAAUAUUAUAAAGUAAGAAAACAUUAUUUCUAUUUGGUUAUAAUUUUAUUGUAAAUGUUGAUUUCAUUCAUUUGCUUUUAUUGAAAAUAUGCCUGAUUAAUUAAGUUACUAAAGUACACUGGCAUUGUUGUUUAUUUAUUUUACUUGUUUUAUUAUAUUGAUAAAGAAAUAAGAAUACUUGUAUUUUGUUUAUAAUUUUUACUGAUGUUGUAAGAUGUUAUUUAGACAAUUCUAUAGAUAAUGUGGUUGUUUUUGGGUUUU